UACGAAGGUGGCAAGCGUUGUUCGGAUUUACUGGGCGUACAGGGAGCGUAGGCGGUUGGAUAAGCCCUCCGUGAAAUCUCCAGGCUUAACCUGGAAAGUGCGGAGGGGACUGUUCAGCUAGAGGAUGGGAGAGGAGCGCGGAAUUCCCGGUGUAGCGGUGAAAUGCGUAGAGAUCGGGAGGAAGGCCGGUGGCGAAGGCGGCUCGCUGGGCCGGUCCUGACGCUGAAACGCGAAGGCGUGGGGAGCGAACGGG
rnacentral:rRNA from 1 species